CCUACGGGUGGCUGCAGUCGAGAAUCAUUCACAAUGGGGGAAACCCUGAUGGUGCGACGCCGCGUGGGGGAAUGAAGGUCUUCGGAUUGUAAACCCCUGUCAUGUGGGAGCAAAUUAAAAAGAUAGUACCACAAGAGGAAGAGACGGCUAACUCUGUGCCAGCAGCCGCGGUAAUACAGAGGUCUCAAGCGUUGUUCGGAAUCACUGGGCGUAAGGCGUGCGUAGGCUGUUUCGUAAGUCGUGUGUGAAAGGCGCGGGCUCAACCCGCGGACGGCACAUGAUACUGCGAGACUCGAGUAAUGGAGGGGGAACCGGAAUUCUCGGUGUAGCAGUGAAAUGCGUAGAUAUCGAGAGGAACACUCGUGGCGAAGGCGGGUUCCUGGACAUUAACUGACGCUGAGGCACGAAGGCCAGGGGAGCGAAAGGGAUUAGAUACCCCAGUAGUC
rnacentral:rRNA from 1 species